rnacentral:lncRNA from 1 species
GGAGAAAGUGGUUAUUACCAAGGCUGUGACUGGAAUGGUGUGCUUUCCUUGAAGGAAUCAAACUUGACUUACAAUUCCAAUGAAGGUCCCUUGGAAAAACUGGCCUCAUAUCUUUAUCUACACAGUCCCUGUACAGGGUUCCUGACUGUGAGUCACUGAAAACUAAGCUGUCCUUUCUUAAAGCCCUGUGAACUGAAGCCAGACAAACUUCAGAAGAAAAUAACAGCAAUCUAUUUACAUACAUAAGCCACUUUCAUACCUGACUACUGAUGUAUGGACUUGAGAGUAAUGUGGCCUAUAUUGAUUUUUCAGGAUUGUUCUUUUGUUGUUUUUCUCCCUUCCUCCCCCUAUUUUCUCUUCACAGGACACGAGACUUCAUAACCUGCUAAAAAUGAGCUUUCCUAAUAACUCGGGACUUACCCAUCUAGGAAUACACCAUCCUCGACAUGAGAGAUCAGAUGAAAUCUUAGACCAGAGAGAGACUCAUUUUAUUCUAAAACACUUUCUCCAAAAGAUUUUAAAAAGGGGAGAAAAUGUGAAUAGAAAAUACGCUGGGCCCCCGAAAUCACUAAGCUAAAGGGAAAAGUCAAGCUGUAACUGCUUAGGGCAAACCUGCCUUCCAUUCUAUUCAGUCACCCCUCUGCUCACUGAGACAGAUGCAUAUCUGUUUGCCUCCUUUGGAGAGGCUAAUCAGAAACUCAAAAGGAUGCAACCUUUUGUCUCUUAUCUACCUGUGACCUGGAAGCCCCUCCUUGCUUCGAGUUGUCUUGUUUUUGCUUCGAGUUGUCCUGCCUUUCUGGGCCAAACCAGUGUUUAUCUUACAUAUUUUGGUUGUGUCUCAUGUCUUCCUAAAAUGUGUAAAAUCAAGCUAUGCUCCAACCACCUUGGGCACAUAUCAUCUGGAGCUCCUGAAACUGUCAAAUGGGUGCAUGUCCUCGACUUUGGCAAAAUAAAAUUUCUAAAAUAACUGAGACCUAUCUCAAAUUUUGGGGGUUCACAAAAGCCACAGGGCUGGAGCUGCCUUAGGCCAUGGGAGCCCACCUCUUGCAUCAGUGUGACCUGGAUGUGAGACAUGGAUUCAAAGGAGAUCAUUUUGGAGCUUUAAGAAUUGACUGCCCUGCUGGAUUUUAGACUUGCAUGGGGCCUGUGGGCACUUUACUUUGGCCAAUUUCUCCCUUUUGGAAUGGGUGUAUUUACCCAAUCCCUGUACCCCCAUUGUAUCUAGGAAGUAACUAAUUUGCUUUUGAUUUUAUAGGCUCAGAGGAAGAAGGGACUUGCCUUGUCUCAGAUGAGACUUUGGACUGUGGACUUUUGAGUUAAUGCUGAAUUAAGACCUUGGGGGACUUAGAAAGGUUUUGAAAUGUAAGGACAUGAGAUUUGGGAGGGGCCAGGGGUGGAAUGAUAUGGUUUGGCUGUGUCCUCACCCAAAUUUCAUCUUGAAUUAUAGCUCCCAUAAUUCCCACAUGUCAUGGAAGGACCUAGUAGGAGGUAAUUGAAUCAUAGGGGUGGGUCUUUCCCAUGCUAUUCUCAUGACAGUGAAUAAGUCUCAUGAGAUCUGAUGGUUUUAAAGGGGGAGUUCCCUGCACACCUCUUAUGCCUGCCGCCAUGUAAGAUGUGCCUUUGCCAUGUAAGAUGUGCCAUGUCUCCUUUGUCUUCUGCCAUGAUUGUGAGGCCUCUGCAGUCAUGUGGAACUGUGAGU